rnacentral:rRNA from 1 species
UUGAACGCUGGCGGCAGGCCUAACACAUGCAAGUCGAGCGGUAGCACAGAGAGCUUGCUCUCGGGUGACGAGCGGCGGACGGGUGAGUAAUGUCUGGGAAACUGCCUGAUGGAGGGGGAUAACUACUGGAAACGGUAGCUAAUACCGCAUAACGUCGCAAGACCAAAGUGGGGGACCUUCGGGCCUCAUGCCAUCAGAUGUGCCCAGAUGGGAUUAGCUAGUAGGUGGGGUAACGGCUCACCUAGGCGACGAUCCCUAGCUGGUCUGAGAGGAUGACCAGCCACACUGGAACUGAGACACGGUCCAGACUCCUACGGGAGGCAGCAGUGGGGAAUAUUGCACAAUGGGCGCAAGCCUGAUGCAGCCAUGCCGCGUGUGUGAAGAAGGCCUUCGGGUUGUAAAGCACUUUCAGCGGGGAGGAAGGCGAUAAGGUUAAUAACCUUGUCGAUUGACGUUACCCGCAGAAGAAGCACCGGCUAACUCCGUGCCAGCAGCCGCGGUAAUACGGAGGGUGCAAGCGUUAAUCGGAAUUACUGGGCGUAAAGCGCACGCAGGCGGUCUGUCAAGUCGGAUGUGAAAUCCCCGGGCUCAACCUGGGAACUGCAUUCGAAACUGGCAGGCUAGAGUCUUGUAGAGGGGGGUAGAAUUCCAGGUGUAGCGGUGAAAUGCGUAGAGAUCUGGAGGAAUACCGGUGGCGAAGGCGGCCCCCUGGACAAAGACUGACGCUCAGGUGCGAAAGCGUGGGGAGCAAACAGGAUUAGAUACCCUGGUAGUCCACGCCGUAAACGAUGUCGAUUUGGAGGUUGUGCCCUUGAGGCGUGGCUUCCGGAGCUAACGCGUUAAAUCGACCGCCUGGGGAGUACGGCCGCAAGGUUAAAACUCAAAUGAAUUGACGGGGGCCCGCACAAGCGGUGGAGCAUGUGGUUUAAUUAGAUGCAACGCGAAGAACCUUACCUGGUCUUGACAUCCACAGAACUUUCCAGAGAUGGAUUGGUGCCUUCGGGAACUGUGAGACAGGUGCUGCAUGGCUGUCGUCAGCUCGUGUUGUGAAAUGUUGGGUUAAGUCCCGCAACGAGCGCAACCCUUAUCCUUUGUUGCCAGCGGUUAGGCCGGGAACUCAAAGGAGACUGCCAGUGAUAAACUGGAGGAAGGUGGGGAUGACGUCAAGUCAUCAUGGCCCUUACGACCAGGGCUACACACGUGCUACAAUGGCAUAUACAAAGAGAAGCGACCUCGCGAGAGCAAGCGGACCUCAUAAAGUAUGUCGUAGUCCGGAUUGGAGUCUGCAACUCGACUCCAUGAAGUCGGAAUCGCUAGUAAUCGUAGAUCAGAAUGCUACGGUGAAUACGUUCCCGGGCCUUGUACACACCGCCCGUCACACCAUGGGAGUGGGUUGCAAAAGAAGUAGGUAGCUUAACCUUCGGGAGGGCGCUUACCACUUUGUGAUUCAUGACUGGGGUG